AUGAGUUGGCGAGGAAGAUUAACAUGUAGAUCAAGACAAUAUUUACAGCCUGUUCAGCCGAUUGGGCCUCUGCUUGAGCCCAGUGUGCCAGAGCCUUAACAAGAGGAACCACAAGCUGAAAGUCAGAAUGGUACACCUGGUCAGAAGACAGAAGAAGAUCAGGGUGCAGCUGAGAUUCGAGCGCCUGACCUGGCAGCUGAUUUCCAGGAGCUGUCUCAGUCAAAGACUGGGGUAAAGGCAGAGAUGGUCCUGAUGUCCAGGGGAAGAUUCUGCCAAAAUCAGAGCAAUUUAAAAUCUCAUAAGGAGGUAAAGGGCAACCACAGGUUUAAACGAAAACAAGCUGAAAGAAUGCAAGCUGAAUUUUUCUGAGAUAUUUGGCUUUAAAAAAAUCUCAAUAAAGCUUCACAGCUUUCUCCAAA